rnacentral:rRNA from 1 species
UACGUAGGGAGCAAGCGUUGUUCGGAUUUACUGGGCGUAAAGGGCGCGUAGGCGGCAAUUCAAGUCAUCUGUGAAAUCUCCGGGCUUAACUCGGAACGGUCAGAUGAUACUGCUUUACUCGAGUGCGGAAGGGGCAAUCGGAAUUCUUGGUGUAGCGGUGAAAUGCGUAGAUAUCAAGAGGAACACCUGAGGUGAAGACGGGUUGCUGGGCCGACACUGACGCUGAAGCGCGAAAGCCAGGGGAGCAAACGGG